AUUGAACGCUGGCGGCAUGCUUUACACAUGCAAGUCGAACGGCAGCGCGGGCUUCGGCCUGGCGGCGAGUGGCGAACGGGUGAGUAAUACAUCGGAACGUGCCCAGUAGUGGGGGAUAGCUCGGCGAAAGCCGGAUUAAUACCGCAUACGACCUGAGGGUGAAAGCGGGGGAUCUUCGGACCUCGCGCUAUUGGAGCGGCCGAUGGCAGAUUAGCUAGUUGGUGGGGUAAAGGCCUACCAAGGCGACGAUCUGUAGCUGGUCUGAGAGGACGACCAGCCACCCGGGGACUGAGACACGGCCCAGACUCCUACGGGAGGCAGCAGUGGGGAAUUUUGGACAAUGGGCGAAAGCCUGAUCCAGCAAUGCCGCGUGUGUGAUGAAGGCCUUCGGGUUGUAAAGCACUUUUGGCGGGAACGAAAAGGACUGUGCCAAUACCACGGUUCGAUGACGGUACCCGCAGAAUAAGCACCGGCUAACUACGU
rnacentral:rRNA from 1 species